UUAGAAUGUUGCACCAGAGCUCUUGGCCUGUUCUUUGGAUCCAUUACUGUUAAAAACUGAUUUAUGAUGUAGGAAUGCAGCAAAAUCUCCGGUGGUUCAUUAGAGGCGUUUUUGGAGCUUGCUUCUUGUUUUUCAUAUUUAACUGACAUACAUAGUACACAUUAUACAGGUGGAACACUUUGUAUUGAACAAUUAACACAUAAGAUGAUGCAGUGUUGAAUCCACAACUAAGUAAGAAGCUACUUGUCUAAAGAGGUGACAAGGGCAGGGCCGGUAACCAUGCCCUGUGCAUCAAGCAGAUGCACAGACUGGAGGAGCAGCAGAGGGAGAAAAAUAUGCUACUUAUUUUGUUUGUUUUGUUAAAUAAAAUGUAUCUGAUCCUUGUUACAAGCCUGUA